UGCCCAGACUCCUACGGGCGGCCGCAGUGGUGCCUCUUGCACACUGGUGGCAACCCUGCUGCCGCGACGCCGCGUGCGUGAAGAAGUCUUUCGGUAUGUACCGCUCUAUCAGCAGGGCCGCAAUAGCGCCCUUUGGGUCGCCAGACGGUACCUGAUUCCGCCGCCCCGGCUACCUCCGUGCCAGCCGCCGCGGUAAUACGUCGGGGGCAAGCGUUCUCCGGAUUUACUGGGGGGAAAGGGAGCGUAGCCGGCAGCGCAAGGCUGAAGUGAAAGGCCGGGGCUUAACCCCGGAACUGCGGUGGAAACUGGGCAGCGAGAGGGCAGGAGAGGUAAGGGGAAUUCCUAGGGGAGCGGUGAAAUGCGGAGAUAUUAGGAGGAACACCAGUGGCGAAGGCGGCUUACGGGACGGUAACUGACGGGGAGGCGCGAAAGCGGGGGGAGCAAACAGGAGGAGAGACCCCAGGAA
rnacentral:rRNA from 1 species